ACUCCUACGGGAGGCAGCAGUGGGGAAUAUUGCACAAUGGGCGCAAGCCUGAUGCAGCCAUGCCGCGUGUGUGAAGAAGGCCUUCGGGUUGUAAAGCACUUUCAGCGAGGAGGAAAGGUUGUUGGCUAAUACCCAACAGCUGUGACGUUACUCGCAGAAGAAGCACCGGCUAACUCCGUGCCAGCAGCCGCGGUAA
rnacentral:rRNA from 1 species